GUGGGGGGGAGAGUCAGAUUGUCAGUCUGCUUUGCAGUUUUCAGAUACUGCUAGUUCCUGAUGUAAAGAGAUCUGGGUGAGCUCCCACAGGCAACUGCUGGUGCAUGAUAAGGAGAUGUUGCAUUCCUGUUUUAUGAAGGAGAUGGGGUCCCGCUUGCCUCUGUCCCCUGUGUGGGUGGUUACACAAAAGCUGCCAGUGAGAGUCAUGCUAAUACAUGACUGCUGUAUUCCAGGUAAUGGGGGAAACAGUCAUCUAUUUACUAAGUGCCUGAUUCAAAGUUCAUGAAUGGGAAUUGUUCCUUUGGCUGCAGUGUGCCCCUAAAAACAACAUUUAAAAAUGGAAUUUCAGUAGUGGGCAGGCCUGAAGUUCUCGUGUUGGGGCAGGGUCCUGCUGGCAUUGUACCAAAAUGUUACCUGCUAGUGCAGGCCUCCUCGGCAGGAUGAAUUACAGAAUUUUGAGCCAAUGCCUGAUGCUGCUACUGGUUUUCCACUGGUCUCCAAAAAUAGCAGAAGCCCAAGAACAUAGAACUGUUGGUACGGGCUCUUCAGUGCUGCUGACUGCAUUGCCCAUCAAUGACCAAACAGUCAUAAAACAUAUACUGUGGGAAUGCAUAAGUAGUGCCCCAACUCUCAGUAUUGUGGAUUACUAUGGAACUGGAACAGAACCUAUUAUCUCUAAUUCCUAUAAAGACAGAGUCAUUUUCUAUUCAUCCAAUGGCUCCCUCUUGUUGAAAAACGUACAAGAGACAGACAGCGGGACCUACAGAGCUACCGUCAAUUUGAACAAAAUUGAAGCCAGGCAAACUACACUGCUAGUCUUAGAGCCUAUGUCCAAAGCUCAGAUCCAGAUAAAUUCUACUGUGGCUGGUUCAUCCAUUGAAUUAUCCUGCAAGGUGCUGGUUGGCAAAGUGCAAGCUAUUGACUGGAAGAAAGAUGGGAAGCCCCUACCCAGGAACAGAUGUUACCAGGUCUCUGAAAACUUCAGUCUUUUGUACAUACCAGAAGCGCAGAAAUCAGAUUGUGGAUCCUUUUCCUGCAAUGCCAGCAAUGAUAUAAGCUGGCAGGAAACCUCAGUGAAUUUGACCAUUGAAAGUAUCAUGCCUUCACUAAAGCAUGCACUGAAAAUUUCUACUGUUGCUCUUGCUAUUGCAAUAACAUUGGCUGCUGGAUCUGGAUUGGGCUUCAUUAUCUUGUGCUGUCAAUCGGAAAAGAAAAAAAUUACGGGAGAGCUGUGGAGAUGGCUUAUCGUAUUCAUCCAUGGGCUGGUGUGUGUCUCGGCCAUCCUGAUGUUCACUGCUGCUGUCUUCUGGAUAUGGGAAGAAGGUCUCUCCACAGCCCUUGUAUUGUAUAUGAUCUUCCUCACGUGGGUGAUCAUGGUAACGCUUCUCAUAAGUGUGGUCUUGGCAAUUUGUCCCCAACACCUUGAGAUGUUUAAAAAGAAAACAAUGUACCGUGUCAUUCUGGAUACUGCAGCUCUUGGGGGAGUGAUUCUAGUUAUGUUGUUUGCCAUCUUCCUUACACAGAACAUCCAGCAUCUCCAAAGAAAAGGCUGCUCACCAUUUUUUGACAACACAGCUGCCAUCCUUAUCACCGCUGCAAUUUCUCUCCUUAUUCUUCUAGCGCCCUUUGUGUGGUAUCACAGGAAGAAAAAAAGCCAAGAAAAGGAUCAGCAAGAAAGAGAACCUGUAGAAGUAAGGAUGCAGUGCCCCAGAAAACCUUUUCAUUGGACUUUGAAAAUAUUCUCAUUGGUUCUCCAUAGUACAACAAAAACUGAGAAAUCCCCUCAGUUCAGCCAGAACAUUUUUGAGCUUCCAGUUCUUCAAAACACUUUACAACUGCUUGUUUAAAUAUAUAGAGAUACACACACACAGAGGACUAUUGUUUAAUAUUGCACAGUAAAACACCACAUCUCUUUAGGCCAGGAAGGGAAGUAUUUCACAUGCAGUUGAAAAGCUGAGAAUUUCUGGAAGCAAAAUGUAAUGAAAUAAGAUGGACUGUAGCCAGGACAGUGGGAUCAGCUCUGCUGCUUUUCCAGUGGCACUUGUUAUAUUUUUCAUGACUUGGCAGAGAGGAGUUGUGAAUUUUGCAUCUGCUCUGGAUGACAAUGCAUCUAGGAACAUAAUUCCUCCAACGCCAUGCUUGGCCAUCAGUGCAGUUCUGACAUCAAGCUAGAUUGUAGAGGUGGCAAUACUCGAUUUCUUGCACAACCCCCUGCAACUCAGCAAUAGCCUCUUUGUCUUGGAAGGAAUUGUAUCCCAUACAGAAACACCAAUGCUAGUUCUGGCAGCACCUGUUUUCUUCUUGGAGCUGCUCUCAUCACGAGCUCUCGUUCCCUCUGCUGUCUGACGAGGUGUCGUGCCUAAGCUCCUGGAAGAUGUCCCUUUGUUGUCCAGGCCUGGAGCUAUGACAGUCCUUGGAUGGCCAGAGCUGCAGAACUGACCAGCCAGCAAGCACGGUUAAAGGGACACUUGAGGUGAUGGCUAACAUAGCUGAACAAAUUUCAAACAUUUUUACAUUUUCAUUGCUUUCCUAUGUAGAUACCGUUAAAUGAGGCUCCAGAAGCCAAAAGCCAGGAAUGAAAGGCUGGUAAUGGAUCGCUAGAAGGUACAAGAUUUCAUGGUUUGAGAAUUUGGAAGAUGAGAUGGGGGGAAAAACCUCCAAACUACCUGUCAGCUUCACUUGGCACUUAGGCCAAAUCGGUGUGGAAGACUUACAUAGAAGUUUUCUUCAGACUUCUCUCCAAAGAUUUUUUUCAGAAUAAUUCAUCUUCAUUCAUUCUCUACUGAGGUAAAUGAAGACUUCAUUCCCCAUGUUCAUUCAGUCCUGAUCUUUCUCACACUAUUCCUUCAACUGAUGUCGAUCAAGGUUAGAAAUAGAUCAGUUUUCCCAAAAAAAUCUCAUUUUGAGCUAGAAAUGGACCUGCAGCUUUGCCUCUCAAGUUUAUGGUAAGUAUGAGUGAGAGUGGGAAAAUGUGUGUGUUGUGUUGGGACAGUUGUUAGUUUGUGCAGGUAAUAAAUGAAGGGUGUAUACUGUGGUGAGGGGCUGUGUGUGUUAGUUGUGUUGAUUUGUAUGUAGAAAGAGUUGAGAUGGGAGAUUUGUAUUUUGUGCACGUGACAGUUGGGCACACAGGUUGGGCAGCUGGUCCACCUUCAGUGCAGUCUCCCUCAUACAACCAAUGAAAUUGCUGCAUGCAAACUAGCUUGUAGAAUAAGGGUGGUGAUUGGUUGUAUUAUCCUGAUAUCACAAUGGUCUAGGUCUCUUGGCAUGGCACAGACAUCCCAUACUGUAGCUGUACACUGCACACAGAGCCGGCUUUAGGAAGUGCGGGGCCCGAUUCGAACAGUUUUGACGGGGCCCCGGCAAGGAUGACUGUAAAAAGAAAAAACACGUAAAAAAACAUCUGGGGCUUGUACUCACCGGGCGGCAC